GAGUAGGGAAACUGGACUUUCCACAAAGUCACAGAACACAGCUCUGAAGGUGCAGAGGUAGGGAAAACACACGCCCUAGAAAGAGCACAGGCAGUGAGUCUAUGCCAGUGUGGGACAAGGACAGAAUAAGACCACAAGAGGCCACGCCAAGCACAUGGGGAGCAGUGCCCCCAGCUCACAGCUCACCCCGGCAACAGACGGAGAUCACCGCCCUCUGAACUUGCAACUCCAGGGAGUAGCGAAGCCCGCAGCCUCUCAGAAGAGGCCUCUACCUCUAACACCUCUCCCUCCCUCCACCAUCGCAACCUUCCCUCUUCCAAGCCAUUCUGCCUCCAACUCCCCCACUGCAAACUGCCAUUAAUUCUCAUCUGCAAAUCUCUGAAAACCUGCAGCCCUGGGGGUGCAACCAGCCCAGGAAAGGGAACACGGACAGCAGCAGCCCAUCAAUAACCGUCAGCAGGGAAGACGGAGCAGCCAGGCGGCAGCUAAUUAGAUGAGGUGGAGUAAUUAAAUUCACAGGCUUUGAUCUGUUCUUCAAAUAUUUCCAAAUGUUCUCUAUCAUUUGGCUUCAGACAUCAUCACACUUCACAAUUAGGAGAUGCCUCCUGGUUGACCUCGGUUUCUCUGCCGCAGAAGGACUCACUCGGCAGCCAGGCCAGCAUCCCCCAGAGGAGGGCGGGUGUGAAGAUUCUCACCUGGGAGUCAAGCGGUUGUAUUAAAGUAAUAGGGGUGCCGGGAAAAUGCAGGAAAUGGCUGAACAAGCUGUUUACCGGUCAUUUUCAGUUUUCAAAAUCGGAUGGGCCGUCACCAGAGGGGACUUGCAGAGAAGCUAAAGCUAAUUCGCAGCCUUGUUUUUGAUUCGUCAUCAAGGCCCAGACUAUGACACUUCCCACCUAGAGAAAGCUGCCUCGGCAGGCUGAGACACGCAGUCAUCAUUCAGAAGGUCUCAUUUCCAUGGCCUUCCUGCCCCUAGAAAACAGCCUGCUCUGUGCAGCAGCCCUAGGGAAUAGACCCGCCAGCCAGCCCUGGUGGUGG
ensembl:lncRNA